rnacentral:tRNA from 1 species
GCCGAAGUGGCGGAAAUGGCAGACGCGCUGGAAUCAGGAUCCAGUGAGUGAAAGCUCAUGCGGGUUCAACUCCCGCCUUCGGCACCA